rnacentral:snRNA from 1 species
ACCGCAGGAGACAACUUCGGGAA